AGGUAGUAUUAUUUAUAAAAACCUUUUUACUUUGGCGGCAUUUAUCUAAUUAGAGGAACUUGUCAUUUUAAUCGACAACCCACGAUAAUUUUCACUUUUAUACAAAAUUUACAUACCGCCAUUUAAAGAAUUUAUAUAAAAAUUUACUCUAAAUAAUAAAUAAAAAUUUAGGUCAAGGUAUAAUAUACAUAAAAGCAACGAUGAGUUACACUAAAUAUAAUUUAAAAUUGUGUUUUAAAAUUUCACAUUAAUAAGGAUUUAUUAGUAAUAAACUACUAAUAUUAGUUUAUGAAACAGAUAAUAAAUGUGC
rnacentral:rRNA from 1 species